rnacentral:rRNA from 1 species
UACGUAGGGUGCGAGCGUUGUCCGGAAUUACUGGGCGUAAAGAGCUCGUAGGUGGUUUGUCGCGUUGUUCGUGAAAACUCACAACUCAAUUGUGGGCGUGCGGGCGAUACGGGCAGACUGGAGUACUGCAGGGGAGACUGGAAUUCCUGGUGUAGCGGUGGAAUGCGCAGAUAUCAGGAGGAACACCGGUGGCGAAGGCGGGUCUCUGGGCAGUAACUGACGCUGAGGCGCGAAAGCGUGGGGAGCGAACCGG